rnacentral:lncRNA from 10 species
UGGGCUUAAUUUCACCCUCAGUGUACCAGAGGUGGCUGUUACCUGGCAACUGCCUUUCCAAGCUUGCUGUUGUUUUUUCUUGUUUUUAGAUUAAUAGAGUUAGUCGUUUUUUUUUUUUUUUUAAUUCUGUUACUAUUUUAUGAGACAGGAUCUUGUUCUGCUACCUACACUGCAUUGUAGUGGUACAAAUAUGGCUCGCUGUAGCCUCGGCCUCCUGGGCUUAGACCACCCUCUUGCCACAAUGGUAAAUGCCCAGCUAGUUUUUUAUUUUUACAUUUUAAUUAUUUGUUUUUUUUUAUUUGUUUUUUUUUGAGACAGCGUCUCACUUUGUUGGUCAGGCUGGUCUCAAAUUCCUCGGCUCAAGUGAUCCUCCCACAGCGGGGAUACAAGCAUGAGCCACUGUGCCUGGCUUUCCCUUUUAUUAAAGAUUUAAGCAAAAAUAAAACUAAGUAGAGUUUGUUGGGGGUUUUUUGUUUGUUUUUUGAGACAGUCUUUGUUGGGUUUUUGUUUGUUUGUUUGUUUUUUAAGACAGUUGCCCAGUCGCCCAGGCUGGAGUACAGUGGUGCAAUCACAGCUCACUGCAACCUUGACCUCCCAGGCUCAAGUGAUCCUCCCAUCUCAGCCUCCCGAGUAGCUAGGACUACAAGUGCAUGCCACCAUACCUG